GUGAACAGAACCUCUGACAUUCCUGUUUAUAUCUGUCAGCCAGGGUUCCCUGAUUGGACCAGAUUAACAAUCCCAAUAGGGAACUCAUAUACUUUGAGGUCCACCUGGCUGACCCUGCUACCAUCACUACACACUCCGUCAAGCCCUCUGUCUGAAACCCAAUCACCCCAACCAAUUGGUUCUCAAAGCCAUUAUGCCACUUUAUUAUUAUGACUUGGGGGAAUAAAUUACAUGUUAUCUUGGGUUGUAGCCCCUUUAUGCACUACGUUUCUUAAAAAGAUUAUAUUUAGUAGAAAGCAGCUUGCUUACAGUAAUUGAAAAUGUGGCCAUGCUGUCUGGGAGAUGAACAAUAGUAAAGGGUCAACAAAAGGUUAAUUACAGGGUGGGAGCAGGGGUAGUCAUUUCCUAGGUUUGGUUCUUUUUUCAAACAGUUUAAUGUAGAAUGAGAUAGUUAUAUAGCAAAUUUCUUUCAAGCACAAUUCAGAUGAAAUUCUGUGCAUUAGCUAAUAGGGUUUAAAAACUCUUGAUAACAGAAGGACUCCACUAACAGAGAGCUGGACCUCUGGUGAUAGACAUGCUGCGAAGAGAGAGAGAGAGAGAGAAUUCCCAGAUGCAAGAUUUCAGAGUUGAAUUAUCGACAUCUGAGUGAGUGACUAGAAGAGAGAGAGAGAGAGACAUACCUUCGGAGAAGAAUGGAAAGAUAAUGAGGAAGAGAGAACAAGAAGACUUUCCUUUUCCUCUCUUCAAACAAAACAGCACCAUUCUUUUGUUUAAAAUUAUGAAAAGCAUUCGCUGAAGGAUGUAUACAUCAGCUUAGCGCCGGUCUGGAUAUGAACAGUGAGGAAGGUGGUACUAAUCAACACACUGUCUUUCCUUCUUUGACACCAAAAUCUCUUUGAUGAAGUGACCAUAUCUAAGAAUGCACAACUUAUCUUUCAUCAAGCGAACUGAAAGAGAAUUGUUUUUUGAGGUCACUGGAGAGCUGCCUUUCAAACCUAAUGUGACUUUGAAAGUUACGUUACUGUGAAAGCUCCAGGCAGACCGGCACUUUGCACUGUUGAACCAAAAGGCCACAUAAAGGCUGUUGCCUGUGAUUACAAAUUCCCCAGUUGCUGGGAGCGUCACUUUGGCAGUUACAGAGCAAUUGUAUCAAGCUCACAAUAUCAGCCCCUAUCAAAGAAAGUGACUCUAAAGCCAGUGCGUAAAUGAACCAUUGAACUAAUGUAAAGGUUAUUGUAUAUUGAAGAACCUUCUAGCCAAAUACAAGUUAAUAAUUAAAGAUUGUAAGGAUUUGAGAGAGAAUACAUUGGAUGCAGUUUUAUACUGUGCUUUAUUUUACUCCACACCCUGCGAUAUGACAGCUCUAAAAUCCAGGGAGUACUGUGCUCAGAUUGUGAAGUACUUCUGUUGCUCACUGACUCAAUCAUACAAUUAAAAGAUUACACUGGGUUCCACUGUUGACUUAUUCCAACCUGGGCUUUAAAAUUGGCCUGAUUAGUGGAUACAGAGGAGAAGAUCAGAAAGAGCAGCUAUGGUACCCGCUUCAUGUUGCUGUCCAGAAAACUCAUUGGAAGUAUCGUGUGUGGAUGUGGGUCAAGGACAGGGAUGGAUUUACUUGUGAUGUCCACAGUCAAUCGUCCUGCUGAUGUUUCCAAUAUAUCAAAGUUAAUGUCUUUGAGAAUGAAGUGGGGAGGAAAUUCAAAAGGAAUAAAGUGGAGAAUGCUGUUGAAUAAAUGCACUAUGUUGAAGUGCCACAAUGAAAGUUUACAUAGCACUAUCCACCUCCCUAUAUGUUAAGGAUCUUGACCCAACAAUUUAGUC